rnacentral:lncRNA from 1 species
CGUCCUGACUGCUGCUGCUGAGAGAGAGAGACGUGCUAGUACCAUGGAUGUAUUGAUAUAAUAGAUCCAUGCCUAGCACUCAGCAGCAUCAGAAACAGCUAGUGGGGCUAACGGGAGGGCUACACAAAGCCACCACCACACAGGACUAGAAGCCAGAACCACACAACUUUCAUAUACCUUCCACACACACAUACUCAUCUGUCACACUCACACCAUCAACCAUUCCUAAUCAGCAAUUGAGAAACUAAAAGGAUAGUUUAACAACAGAUCCACUCAGACACAUGUCACACUGGUGUAUUGUUGAUACAGGGUUAAACCAGGGUUUGACAAGAGUUGCCAGUGUCUGAUUCUACACCCGAACACAGCAGAGUGGGCGGGGCCUGCAGACCGACCCAGUUACACCUGCAGCGAGCGGACAGAGGAAGAGGAGUGUGAGAUCCACGGGGAAAGGAGCAGGAGAAAGAGAACGACAGCUGUCGCCAGCAGACAGGCAUUGACUGUCGGACUAAUUGAAAUCGUAAGAGGCCGGCGCCCAAGGACGGUGUGACAGCAGUGGUGCCAAUGACGAGAGUGAUGUUGGCCCGAGGUGACGGUGAACAGCUGAUACUCUGCCCCAUCAUGUGA